GGUCUUCUUUGAGGAAAUACCCUAAAGACCCUGCCCUCCACCACCAGGCCAUAUAUAUUCAGCCUGGAAUUUCACUAAUUAGAGAUUGUCUUAGGCCCACAGAAAGACAUUGAAGAGUGUGUUUGUGCACCCCCCUCUCCAUUAAAAAUACAAAAAUUAGCUGGGUGUGGUGACUUGCACCUGUAAAUCCAGCUACUCUGGAGGCUGAGGCACGAGAAUCGCUUGAACCUGGAAGGCAGAGGUUGCAAUGAGCCUAGAUUGCACCACUGUCCUCCAGCCUGGGUAACGGAGUGAGACUUUCUAGGGUUCUGCUGCUGGGAAGCUGGGGAGCCUCAGCAGAUGGGACCAUCUUUGCUUCUAAGUCUUGAUCAUUACAAAUCCUUCCAACUACUCCUCUAAAGAGACAAUCAUUCAUUUCACACUUUGUCACCUAAGGGAGAUAGUUCCCUAUUCACUGUUUACAGCAAUAAAGUGGUCAGUGGAGUGGGAUCAUUCCACAGCAGUGAGACCUAAUAUAUCUGCCCCUGAAGGGGAGUGGUUUCCAGGAGUGCAUUCUUACACAUUCUUUAACAUCUGAACUGAAAACAGUGGCACAGGGAUCCUGUAGUCAUGAAAUCAGGGAAAGAUCAGGCUCUCCCAGAGCACCAGCAGAAAUGACUAUGUUUUAGGCAUAAGCUAGCCAGCCUAGAUAUUAUGAGCAUGUGGUUCAGCCACAGGCUCAGUUACAAAAUUGCAGGAUGUUUAAAGGGUAAGGCCCACCCAGAGUGCGUCUCCUAGAAUUUUCUCAGAGACUUUGGGAAUCACAGCCAUCUGGUAGGAGUUCCUGACAGUUACUCAUUGACUCAGGCUGGUGGUGACCCUCUUCUCAACCCUGGUUUAAGGCUGGGAGUCCCUGGGCCAACAUGCCUAAUUUAUUGCACCUAUUACUCAGACAGGUCCUGAAAAGUAGAGCACAAGUUUCUGAGCUGAGUUUGGAACUUCUCAAGAUUUCUGGGGUGGUCAGGAGGGGCUCCUUAAAACCUGUAAGCAUCAAUUUUAACACCAUUGUUCUCUACUAGGCAUGGGUGUCAGGAAGUUCUGGCACCCUCUACAGGUCCCCUGGAUUUUAAUAGUCCAGUUUAGAGGAAUGUUAAUCUUUGUGGAACAAACUAAGAACUACAUAAAAUCAGUUCCUUUGAAAAGAAAAGCAACAAUCCAAACACAAAUUAAUCUGCAUUUCCUUAUCAAUAUCUAACAUGGAAAUAGAUGAAAUCUAUAAGUAAUAUACAGGACAAUCAAAAACAUACCAAACAUCAUGCCAAGUGCCAGGGGCUCAAGGAGGAGUAAAGCACACUCUGUGUCUCUAAGGAGCUUGUAGCUUAGGUGAGAAGCUAGGGGAAUGAAUAUAUGCAAUUUUAAAUAACAGAACAACACAAUCUAAUAAGAGAUAACUCAAGACAAUGUGUGGCUAUGGUUAAGUGACAACUGUCUAGAGCAGUGCUGU
rnacentral:lncRNA from 1 species